UGGGGAAUAUUGCACAAUGGGGGAAACCCUGAUGCAGCAACGCCGCGUGAGUGAAGAAGUAUUUCGGUAUGUAAAGCUCUAUCAGCAGGAAAGAAAAUGACGGUACCUGACUAAGAAGCCCCGGCUAACUACGUGCCAGCAGCCGCGGUAAUACGUAGGGGGCAAGCGUUAUCCGGAUUUACUGGGUGUAAAGGGAGCGUAGACGGUUUUGCAAGUCUGAAGUGAAAGCCCGGGGCUUAACCCCGGGACUGCUUUGGAAACUGUAGGACUAGAGUGCAGGAGAGGUAAGUGGAAUUCCUAGUGUAGCGGUGAAAUGCGUAGAUAUUAGGAGGAACACCAGUGGCGAAGGCGGCUUACUGGACUGUAACUGACGUUGAGGCU
rnacentral:rRNA from 1 species